rnacentral:rRNA from 1 species
ACAGCAGUCGCCGCGGUAAGACAGAGGAUGCAAGCGUUAUCCGGAAUGAUUGGGCGUAAAGAGCUCGUAGGCGGUUUGUCGCGUCUGCCGUGAAAGUCCGGGGCUCAACCCCGGAUCUGCGGUGGGUACGGGCAGACUAGAGUGAUGUAGGGGAGACUGGAAUUCCUGGUGUAGCGGUGAAAUGCGCAGAUAUCAGGAGGAACACCGAUGGCGAAGGCAGGUCUCUGGGCAUUAACUGACGCUGAGGAGCGAAAGCAUGGGGAGCGAACAGGAUUAGAUACCCGCGUAGUCCCUGUCUCUUAUAC